rnacentral:rRNA from 1 species
AUGAACGCUGGCGGCGUGUCUAAGGCAUGCAAGUCGAACGAGUGCAUUCUUGUAGCAAUACGAGGAUGCGCGAGUGGCAAACGGGUGCGUAACACACUGGUAACCUACCUCGAAGUCGGGCAUAACUCGCCGAAAGGCGAGCUAAUUCCACGAUGGUCAUGGGGGGACGCAUGUCAUUCCCAUGUAAAGUCCAAAAGACGCUUCGAGAGGGGCCUAUGGCCUAUCAGCUUGUUGGCGGGGUAACGGCCCACCAAGGCUAUGACGGGUAGGGGAUGUGAGAGCAUGAUCCCCCUCACUGGAACUGAGACACUGUCCAGACACCUACGGGUGGCUGCAGUCGAGAAUAUUCCCCAAUGGGCGAAAGCCUGAGGGAGCGACGCCGCGUGCAGGAAGAAGGCCUUCGGGUCGUAAACUGCUUUUGCCGAGGACGAAUGUUGACGGUACUCGGAGAAUAAGAGGUUGCUAACUCUGU